rnacentral:rRNA from 1 species
AACGCUGGCGGCGUGCUUAACACAUGCAAGUCGAACGGAGUUCCUUGGAUAGAGGCUUCGGCCAAUUGAAAUGGAACUUAGUGGCGGACUGGUGAGUAACGCGUGAGGAACCUGCCUUUCAGAGGGGGACAACAGUUGGAAACGACUGCUAAUACCGCAUGACACAUUCGGAUGGCAUCACCUGAAUGUCAAAGAUUUUAUCGCUGAAAGAUGGCCUCGCGUCUGAUUAGCUAGUUGGUGGGGUAACGGCCCACCAAGGCGACGAUCAGUAGCCGGACUGAGAGGUUGACCGGCCACAUUGGGACUGAGAUACGGCCCAGACUCCUACGGGAGGCAGCAGUGGGGAAUAUUGGGCAAUGGACGCAAGUCUGACCCAGCAACGCCGCGUGAAGGAAGAAGGCUUUCGGGUUGUAAACUUCUUUUAAGUGGGAAGAGCAGAAGACGGUACCACUUGAAUAAGCCACGGCUAACUACGUG